rnacentral:misc_RNA from 1 species
UUUCCGUAGGUGAACCUGCGGAAGGAUCAUUAAAGAGAAUAUGCCCUUCGGGGUAGAUCUCCCACCCUUUGUUUAUAUUACCUUUGUUGCUUUGGCAGGCCCGUCUUCGGACCACCGGCUUCGGCUGGUCAGUGCUUGCCAGAGGACCCAAAACUCUUAUUAUUAAUGUCGUCUGAGUACUAUAUAAUAGUUUAAACUUUCAACAACGGAUCUCUUGGUUCUG